AUUGAACGCUGGCGGCAUGCUUUACACAUGCAAGUCGAACGGUAACAGGCCUUCGGGUGCUGACGAGUGGCGAACGGGUGAGUAAUGCAUCGGAACGUGCCCAAUCGUGGGGGAUAACGUAGCGAAAGUUACGCUAAUACCGCAUAAGCCCUGAGGGGGAAAGUGGGGGACCGCAAGGCCUCACGCGAAUGGAGCGGCCGAUGUCAGAUUAGCUAGUUGGUGGGGUAAAGGCCCACCAAGGCGACGAUCUGUAGCGGGUCUGAGAGGAUGAUCCGCCACACUGGGACUGAGACACGGCCCAGACUCCUACGGGAGGCAGCAGUGGGGAAUUUUGGACAAUGGGCGCAAGCCUGAUCCAGCCAUGCCGCGUGCGGGACGAAGGCCUCGGUUGUAACCGACUUCUAGCCGGAAGAAAUACGCCGUUUUAAUUACUAGACGGUGGAUGACGGUACCGGAACGAAGAAGACACCGCUAACUACGUGCCAGCAGCCGCGGU
rnacentral:rRNA from 1 species